UGGUCCAUCGCGUCCAAAAAUGAGGUGCUGAGCUCCGACAUUCCUGCCGCGCUUUUUUUGGCGCCCUAAUUAUUGGCUGGUGCUGCACCACGUUGCACGUCGAAACGUCCUGCCUCAAAAACGCCAAAGCUGGCCUCUCUCUAUGAUUGGCGUCUUCAAUCCUGAGAAGCAGGCAUCAUGAACAUAGCAACUGCCACCUGGUGAUGCAUCACUCCAUGAAGCCUCACCUGCCAUCACGGGCCACGGCUGCUGGACUCAGUGCAGGAUCACCCUCACUUCUUCCCUCCGCUGGAAACUCAGGUCCGGUCAGGCGUCUUCAACUCGCCUCACUCUUCAUCAUGGAGAAGAUGAGUGCUGCUCACCUCCUCCGCUGUUUGAUAACCCAAAGCUGGACCGGGGAGCUGCGAUCGAGGCUCAGAGAGAGAUUCCCCGGAGUUCGCCAGGCUCGCCCUCACCCCCCAC